GUCUGCGUGGCCGAGUGGAUAAGGCGCUGGAUUGCGAUGCCGGAGAUCGCAGGUUCGAAUCCUGCCGCGGAUCA
rnacentral:tRNA from 1 species